rnacentral:rRNA from 1 species
GAAACGACUGCUAAUACCGCAUACGCCCUACGGGGGAAAGCAGGGGUCCUUCGGGCCUUGCGCGAUUGGAUAUGCCCAGGUGGGAUUAGCUAGUUGGUGAGGUAAUGGCUCACCAAGGCGACGAUCCCUAGCUGGUCUGAGAGGAUGAUCAGCCACACUGGAACUGAGACACGGUCCAGACUCCUACGGGAGGCAGCAGUGGGGAAUAUUGCACAAUGGGGGAAACCCUGAU